UACGUAGGGGGCGAGCGUUGUCCGGAUUUAUUGGGCGUAAAGAGCUCGUAGGCGGUUCGGUAAGUCGGAUGUGAAAUCUCCACGCUCAACGUGGAGGGGCCAUUCGAUACUGCCGUGACUCGAGUCCGGUAGGGGAGUGUGGAAUUCCCGGUGUAGCGGUGAAAUGCGCAGAGAUCGGGAGGAACACCCGUAGCGAAGGCGGCACUCUGGGCCGGUACUGACGCUGAGACGCGAAAGCGUGGGGAGCGAACAGG
rnacentral:rRNA from 1 species